rnacentral:lncRNA from 1 species
GAAAAACAUUUAUUUAUCUUCUGGAGAGUCUCCCUCUCUCUUAUUUAGAUUGACGUAAUGAUGCCUCAGAAGUGCAACUGAAGUUGACUGACCUUGGACAAAUCAGCGUCCACUGGGAAUCCAGCACAAUGGUGACUGAGCCCUUUGUUCUCUCUGUUUCCAAGAGUCACAUUUCUGUCCUGUGAAUCUCGUCUAGAAUUCUCGGACUCCUUCCUCUUGGUGAGUUUUUUGUUUGUUUGUUUGUUUUUACUAUAUUCUGGAUCUAAUUUGGUUAUAAGCCACCUUUAAUGAAAGACCCUGCAUCCCUUUUGGGGCUAUAAGUCUUUUCUGGCAAGCCCUUUCUGAUAAGCAUUCUUUUAGCGAGUACUCUGGUUUCUACAGAAUUUAUAUUUAGUUUGUGAGGACUUCCUAUCAUUUCUUGCAUAAUCAUUUUUUGGUUCUUGUGAUCAAAACAAAUAUUUAGUUUGAUCUGCAUGCUUGGCUUAAUAGUUUAGGGAACAGUCUGAUUUUGGUUUCAUUUUGGUUUGGUUACACGUCUGUAAAAAAAUCUGGAUCUUUUACAAUUUUUACUCUUUUUGUUUCUGAACAUCUUCCGGAACAAGAGUAAACAUUUUAAAUGAAGAGUAUGAUAUGGC